rnacentral:rRNA from 1 species
GACGAACGCUGGCGGCGUGCCUAAUACAUGCAAGUAGAACGCACAGUUUAUACCGUAGCUUGCUACACCAUAGACUGUGAGUUGCGAACGGGUGAGUAACGCGUAGGUAACCUGCCUGGUAGCGGGGGAUAACUAUUGGAAACGAUAGCUAAUACCGCAUAAUAUUAAUUAUUGCAUGAUAAUUAAUUGAAAGGUGCAAUUGCACCACUACCAGAUGGACCUGCGUUGUAUUAGCUAGUAGGUGAGGUAACGGCUCACCUAGGGGACGAUACAUAGCCGACCGGAGAGGGGGAUCGGCCACAAUGGGAAUGGGACAAGGCCCAGACUGCUACGGGAGGCAGCAGUAGGGAAUCUUCGGAAAUGGACGAAAGUCUGACCGAGCAACGCCGAGUGAGUGAAGAAGGUUUUCGGAUCGUAAAGCUCGGUUGUAAGAGAAGAACGGGUGUGAGAGUGGAAAGUUCACAGUGUGACGGUAUCUUACCAGAAAGGGACGGCUAACUACGUG